CAGACUGACAUCUUGCAUGAUGAUCUGGCCGGCUACAGUGAUGAUCAGCUCAAACAACCUAAACUUCUGUAGAGAAAACUAUUCAUGGGUGAUAUUCUCAGAAGUGACAGAUCAUGCAAAUUCUACACAGGUAUUACAUCCAUCCAGCUUCUGUUGUUCCUGCACAGAUUCCUACAGUCCAAAGCUGAGAGGUUAACACUGUGGAAAGGGGAAGAAACAACAGAGAAUGCCAAAAAUAAAGAUGACCAUCACCCCAGGGGACUUUCCACCUUCACAGCUUCCUUCCUAACACCUGUGCGCCUUUGACGUGGCCUGGAUGUCGACCAUUUGAGUGAUCUGUUUGGCAUAUCAUCAUCGACAGUUAGCCGUUACUUCCGGACAUACACUGAGUUUAUAUCAAGGGAG
rnacentral:lncRNA from 1 species